rnacentral:rRNA from 1 species
AGAGUUUGAUCAUGGCUCAGGAUGAACGCUGGCGGCGUGCCUAAUACAUGCAAGUCGAGCGGUAAGGCUCUGCACUUAUUAUUUGAACACGGUAGCAAUACCAUGCUGACUCUAGGCUAGAGAAGGUAGAUCGAAUAAUGGGUGUAGAGUACACGAGCGGCGGACGGCUGAGUAACGCGUAGGAACGUACCCCAAAGUGAGGGAUAAGCACCGGAAACGGUGUCUAAUACCGCAUGUGAUCUUCGGAUUAAAGCUUUAUGCGCUUUGGGAACGGCCUGCGUAAGAUUAGCUUGUUGGUGAGGUAAAAGCUCACCAAGGCGACGAUCUUUAGCUGGUCUGAGAGGAUGAUCAGCCAGACUGGGACUGAGACACGGCCCAGACUCCUACGGGAGGCAGCAGUAGGGAAUUUUCCACAAUGGGCGAAAGCCUGAUGGAGCAACGCCGCGUGCAGGAUGAAACCCUUCGGGGCGUAAACUGCUUUUAUCUGUGACGAUUUUGACGGUAGCAGAUGAAUAAGGAUCGGCUAACUCCGUGCCAGCAGCCGCGGUCAUACGGAGGAUCCAAGCGUUAUCCGGAAUUACUGGGCGUAAAGAGUUGCGUAGGCGGCAAAGUAAGUAAGUAAUGAAAUCGUGUGGCUCAACCACAUACCCAUUGCUUAAACUGCUUAGCUUGAGAAUGGAAGAGGUUGCUAGAAUUCCUAGUGUAGGGGUGAAAUCCGUAGAUAUUAGGAGGAAUACCAAUGGCGUAGGCAGGCAACUGGUCCAUUUCUGACGCUCAGGCACGAAAGCGUGGGGAGCGAUCGGGAUUAGAUACCCCGGUAGUCCACGCCGUAAACGAAGGAUGCUAGCUGUAUGAGGUAUCGACCCCUUAUGUAGCGAAGCUAACGCGUUAAGCAUCCCGCCUGUGGAGUACGGUCGCAAGACUAAAACUUAAAGGAAUUGACGG